rnacentral:pre_miRNA from 1 species
UUAGGAACCACCUGGGGAUCUUGCCAAAAUGCAAAUUCACAUUCAGGAGGUCUGGAGUGGGACCCAGGUGUCUGCAUUUCUGACAAGUUCCCAGGUCUGUG